GUGGUCACAAUGAGCACUGCAUCCCGUUCCAGAUAGCAAUGGGAUCGAGUGCAUGGGCGCUGGCAAUAAUGGAGAAGAAGAAGAAUGUGGUGGUCUGCCAAGUAAGGUGUGCAGAAGGGACAGGCUCUGGUCACGGAUCGAACUGUGAACUGACUACCGGACAAGAGGGGGCGGAAAGCGAAGUCCUUCAACCUAUAAAAGAUUCUGCGAG
rnacentral:lncRNA from 1 species